GGGGCCUUUCAUCUAGGAGUUCACAAUCUAGUGGGGGAACACACACACUAGAUUGUGAACUCCUAGAUGAAAGGCCUC
rnacentral:pre_miRNA from 1 species